rnacentral:rRNA from 1 species
AUGGCGGGAAAAGAAACGAAAAAUCAACCAGAAAAAAAAGCACAACGGCGCGUGGCACGGGAACCGAACGGCGUUGGGACAUCAACGGCAGAGAGGAGAGGAAAGGAGACGAGAAGGAAGGAAGCGUCUCCCCUACGCUGCCAGUCUGACAGCCCGGCCCCACGCGCUUCCCCAUUCCCCGUUCCACUCGGCCCGGUCCAGUCGCCGCCGGUUAAAACGCCACCACCCACCACCAAUCAUCCCCAACCUCCUCCCCUCCCUUCCCCCAUCCCCCCCUGCCCCCGCGCCGCCCUCCCCCCUGCUCCGAUCCACCACCCAGCUCCAGCUCCAGCUCCUUCUUAUCCAGCUCAGUCGGAUCUGGUCCUGCGGAAAGCCCGCGCCUUUUCUCUUCCCAUGGAUCGGUGGGCGGCCACGGCUGCCGGCCCAGCGGCGGCGGGGGCGGCAGGGACGCCGUCCUACUGGUGCUACAGCUGCGAGCGGUUCGUGCGCACGGCGGGGGACGCCGGCCUGGUCUGCCCCGGCUGCGACGGCGGCUUCCUGGAGCAGAUGGACGCGCCGCCGCCGCGCAGGGCCGUCGCGCCCUCUGCCUUCCUCCGCCGCCGCGCCGCGGAGGCGCCCACCGAGGUCCGGCCCCGCCGCGGCCGGCGCGGCGGCGCGUCGGGGGACCGCUCCGGCUCCCCGUACAACCCGGUCAUCGUGCUCCGGCGCUCCGCGGCCCCGCCCGGCGACGAGGCCCCCGGCGCCACCAGCAGCUUCGAGCUCUUCUACGACGACGGCGCCGGAUCCGGCCUCCGCCCGCUGCCCGAGAGCAUGUCCGACUUCCUCAUGGGGUCCGGCUUCGAGCGCCUCCUCGAGCAGCUCGCCCAGAUCGAGGCCGGCGGCUUCGGCGCCGUCCGCCCCUGCGACAACCCGCCGGCCUCCAAGGCCGCCGUCGAGUCCAUGCCCACCGUCGUCGUCGCCGCCUGCCACGUCGGCGCCGACUCCCACUGCGCCGUCUGCAAGGAGGCCUUCCAGCUGGGCGACGAGGCCAGGGAGAUGCCCUGCAGCCACAUGUACCACCAGGACUGCAUCCUGCCGUGGCUCGCGCUGCGCAACUCGUGCCCCGUGUGCCGGCACGAGCUGCCCACGGACGUGGCGCGGCCUGCUCCGGCGAGCGACCUGGGCGGCGCUGACGACCAGGGCAGCAACACCGGGGCUGAGGCUGGCAGCGAGGAGGAGAUGACGGUGGGGUUGACGAUUUGGCGGCUUCCUGGAGGAGGCUUUGCCGUCGGGAGGUUCGCUGGUGGCCGGAGGGCCGGCGAGAGGGAGCUCCCAGUUGUCUACACCGAGGUGGACGGCGGUUUCAACAAUGGCGGUGCCCCGAGGAGGAUCUCAUGGUCAUCAAGAGGGAGCCGUUCGUCGCAGAGGGGAGUUAUUAGACGCAUGUUCGACAACAUGUUUGCUUGCUUUGGGCACACCCAUUCUACCAAUGUGACUCGAGCCUCAUCCUCGAGGUCGGAGUGGAGCUCGGUUUUCACCCGUGGUCUGAGGAGCCGCAGCACAAGCUGGAGAUCCCAAGAUAGCCACGCCGAUGCGAUCGCCAGGUGA